rnacentral:tRNA from 1 species
ACAAAAGUGCCAGAUUAUAUGGGGUUGAUUUAGGUUUAAUUUAUGGAUUUUCCCUUUUGUU